GCAGCAUGGGUCCAGACCGGGUGGCACUCUCGUGCAGGAAGCGCCUGCUGCUUCGAAGACUUGGGGCUGGGAGUGGAAUGACUUGACAGCCACCCCCGCCCAUUCUCAGCACCUCUAGCGCUCCUGUGCUUUGCCACUCACAGCCCCACAGCACACUCUCGGCUUCUGGAUUAAUUCCUCUGCCCAGGAUCAUGUCCCAGUGCACCCUGCAGCUGCUUGUUCCUGUGGACGCCCCUGAGCCCAUGGAAACUCUUGCACGGCAGCACUAGUGACACAUGGGGACUUCCAGGUUGUGACACAGCACACCAUGACCACCACUGCAUGCUACAACCAUCUCCUUGGGCAGAUGUACAAAGUUUCUCUGAGGCAAUAAAUAAGUGAAGUCUCUGGGUUAAUGGGGUGCAGACCUUCAACUGGCAGGGAAACAUCAGACUGUUCCCCAAAGUUGCUGACCUUGGGACACUCCAACAGUACAGAAGACAGUUCCUUGGCUUAUCUUGUUUCCUGAGUGGAUGAGGAGACUCAAACAUUUUAUUGAAUCUGUUAUCUCCCUGCCGUCCCAUCUUGUAUUCCUUAUUGAGAUCAAGAUCUUUUCAUAGACUUAUG
rnacentral:lncRNA from 1 species